rnacentral:rRNA from 1 species
UACGGGGGGGGCAAGCGUUGUUCGGAAUUACUGGGCGUAAAGGGCUCGUAGGCGGCCAACUAAGUCAGACGUGAAAUCCCUCGGCUUAACCGGGGAACUGCGUCUGAUACUGGAUGGCUUGAGUCCGGGAGAGGGAUGCGGAAUUCCAGGUGUAGCGGUGAAAUGCGUAGAUAUCUGGAGGAACACCGGUGGCGAAGGCGGGUCUCUGGGCCGAUACUGACACUGAGGAGCGAAAGCGUGGGGAGCGAACAGG